AGAGUUUGAUCCUGGCUCAGGAUGAACGCUAGCUACAGGCUUAACACAUGCAAGUCGAGGGGCAGCAUUGGAGUAGCAAUACUUCAGAUGGCGACCGGCGCACGGGUGAGUAACACGUAUCCAACCUGCCGCUUACUCGGGGAUAGCCUUUCGAAAGAAAGAUUAAUACCCGAUGGUAUAAAGAGUUCGCAUGUUCUCUUUAUUAAAGAAUUUCGGUAAGCGAUGGGGAUGCGUUCCAUUAGAUUGUUGGCGGGGUAACGGCCCACCAAGUCUACGAUGGAUAGGGGUUCUGAGAGGAAGGUCCCCCACAUUGGAACUGAGACACGGUCCAAACUCCUACGGGAGGCAGCAGUGAGGAAUAUUGGUCAAUGGACGCGAGUCUGAACCAGCCAAGUAGCGUGAAGGAUGACUGCCCUAUGGGUUGUAAACUUCUUUUAUAAGGGAAUAAAGUGAGGGACGUGUCCCUUUUUGUAUGUACCUUAUGAAUAAGGAUCGGCUAACUCCGUGCCAGCAGCCGCGGUAA
rnacentral:rRNA from 1 species